CCCACGAGUGAGAUCAUCACCUGAGCCGAAGUUGGACACUCAACCAACUGAGCCACCCAGGCGCCCCUGAUCAUAGUUAUUUUAAAUCACCAGUCUUAUAAUUCUAAAAUAUCUUCCAUAUAUGAAUCUAGGUCUCAGGCUGGAUUUGUCUCAUCACAUUAUGUUUUUUGCCCUUUAGCAUGCCUUGUAAUUUUUUGUUGAAACCAGGUGUGAUGCAUCUGGUAAAAGGAACUGAUGUUGAUAGAUCUUUAGUGUGAAGUUUUAUGUUUAUCUGAUUAGGAGUUAGGCCGUUUUGACCCUGCGAUAGCUUUGGUCUUAGAGGCUAAACUCUUCUCUCAUAUCCUUGUUUUUGUAUCUUUUGUUGUUUUGUGGUGUCCCUAGAAACUUCUCAAGUCAGAUCUGAAGCUCACAACUUGUUAUUUGAAUUUUUCUUAGUUGUAAUCCCCUAUUUUUUUUUUUUACAGGAACUCUACUGAUGUGGUGGUAAGGCGAGUAGAGAGAAGAAGCCUUCUAUAGUCCUAUGAUUAGGUCUGUGGUCCUCCAUCAUUCUGAAAUCCCAAAACCUUUAAAAACAGAGUUUUAACAGAAGUUUUCAGCAAACUUAUUAGAUGAUAAAAACAUAACCUUAACUAAGGAGUAACCAUUUGUGUUGUUGGCUUUCUUUCUGCAAGAUCUAAGAGGCCCGGUGGAAUCAAUAUUCCCAAAACGCUUCCCAGGGUUAUGAGACCCGCUGAAAGUGUAAGCACUGGGAAAUGCUGACCCAGUUAUUCAAAAUUAUGGUGAGCAAGAGUCAAGAGUCUUCCCAACCAGAGGUCUCGCUGUUGCAAAGGGGCCCUCUCACCCAGGUUUCAGGAAUUACAGUUGUCCCUGAAAAGGUAACUGCUAAAGCAUUAUGUUGAUAUCAAAACACACGGGUUGUAAAGCCACCGAAACGAUAGUAGAUGGUGAAGAAAGAAACUGACGAUUAAAACAUGAUGAAAACCAGUUUCUCCACUAAAUCCUAAACAUGGCAGACCAAGCUCUGAGAGUGAGCAAAUGGGAGACUUAGGGAUUUUUUCCCCUGAAGCCUCAUUUGUGGCAAGGGUGUCUUAUGACUUUGGUGCCAUUUGUUCCUUUGAAAUUGCUUCCUUUGUUUCCAUUUUUUUUUAAGUUUAUUUAUUUAUUUUGAGAGAGAGAAAGCACCAGCUGGGGGGCAGGGAGGAGCAGAGGGAGGGAGAAUCCCAAGCAGGCUCCUCAGGGUCAG